GGACGAACGCUGGCGGCGUGCCUAACACAUGCAAGUCGAACGGAACUAAUUGACCGAUUCCUCGGGAUGAAGAAUUUUAGUUAGUGGCGGACGGGUGAGUAACGCGUGAGUAACCUGCCUCUGAGAGGGGAAUAACGUUCUGAAAAGAACGCUAAUACCGCAUAACACAUAUUUGCCGCAUGACAGAUAUGUCAAAGAUUUUUAUCGCUCGGAGAUGGACUCGCGUCCGAUUAGUUAGUUGGUGAGGUAACGGCUCACCAAGACCGCGAUCGGUAGCCGGACUGAGAGGUUGAACGGCCACAUUGGGACUGAGACACGGCCCAGACUCCUACGGGAGGCAGCAGUGGGGGAUAUUGCGCAAUGGGGGCAACCCUGAACCGCAGCAACGCCGCGUGAAGGAUGAAGGUUUUCGGAUUGUAAACUUCUUUUAUCAGGGACGAACUCUGACGGUACCUGAUGAAUAAGCUCCGGCUAACUACGUGCCAGCCGCCGC
rnacentral:rRNA from 1 species